UCGAGCGGUAGCACGGGAAACUUGCUUCUCGGUGACGAGUGGCGGACGGGUGAGUAAUGUAUGGGGAACUGCCCGAUAGAGGGGGAUAACUACUGGAAACGGUGGCUAAUACCGCAUAAUCUCUCAGGAGCAAAGCGGGGGAACUUCGGUCCUCUCGCUAUCGGAUGAACCCAUAUGGGAUUAGCUAGUAGGUGGGGUAAUGGCUCACCUAGGCGACGAUCCCUAGCUGGUUUGAGAGGAGGAUCAGCCACACUGGGACUGAGACACGGCCCAGACUCCUACGGGAGGCAGCAGUGGGGAAUAUUGCACAAUGGGGGCAACCCUGAUGCAGCCAUCCCGCGUGUAUGAAGAAGGCCUUCGGGUUGUAAAGUACUUUCAGCAGGGAGGAAGGGGUGGUUGCUCAAUAGCGUCAACAAUUGACGGUUCACCGGCAGCAAGAAGCAGCCGGCUAACUCCGUGGCCAGCAGCCGCGGUAAUACGAACGGGUGCAAGACGUUUAAUCGGAAUUAUCUGAAGGCGUAAACUGGCGGCGCGCAGAUGCGGUUCGGGAAGGCAGAUGUGAAAUCCCCGGGCUCAACCUGGGAAAUGCAUUUUAGACUGGCCAGCUAGAGUCUUGUAGAGGGGGGUAGAAUUCCACGUGUAGCGGUGAAAUGCGUAGAGAUGUGGAGGAAUACCG
rnacentral:rRNA from 1 species